rnacentral:rRNA from 1 species
AGUGAACGCUGGCGGUAGGCCUAACACAUGCAAGUCGAACGGCAGCACAGUAAGAGCUUGCUCUUACGGGUGGCGAGUGGCGGACGGGUGAGGCAUACAUCGGAAUCUACUUUUUCGUGGGUGAUAACGUAGGGAAACUUACGCUAAUACCUCAUACGACCUACGGGUUAAAGCAGGGGAUCUUCGGACCUUGCGCGAUUGAAUGAGCCGAUGUCGGAUUAGCUAGUUGGCGGGGUAAAGGCCCACCAAGGCGACGAUCCGUAGCUGGUCUGAGAGGAUGAUCAGCCACACUGGAACUGAGACACGGUCCAGACUCCUACGGGAGGCAGCAGUGGGGAAUAUUGGACAAUGGGCGAAAGCCUGAUCCAGCAAUACCGCGUGGGUGAAGAAGGCCUUCGGGUUGUAAAGCCCUUUUGUUGGGAAAGAAAAGAAGCAGGUUAAUACCCCGAUGUUCUGACGGUACCCAAAGAAUAAGCACCGGCUAACUUCGUG